rnacentral:lncRNA from 1 species
AAGUCGGGUGCUGGGGCCGGGCGUGCGGCUGCAGGGCCUGAAGGGGGCAAGUGGGUACCUGGACUUCCCAGCCCGACGCCGGCUUUCUCCAACCCAGACCCGGGGGCGGGGCGGCGGAGGCUCGCAGGACCGACCCGUUGCAGGCGGGCGGCAGCCACCGCGUCCCAGCUUCCGCACGGCCACCCCCGGGGGUCGCAGCCACUGCCCGCGAGCCCCUUUCCCGGGUCGCCAUCAGCUCCCGCCCAGCCGCCGGCCUCCGGAGAAAGUAAACGACACCAAGUGGCUGGGAACAAAGGGCAAGUUGUCUUUCUGCGGUGCCGGAGCUGUGUGCCUCUGCUACGGAAGAAUAAGAGCUAUUAUUAUUCUUUCUUUCUUUCUAAACCAAGUUUCCUUCUAAGGGAAAUAAACACCAAAGUGAUCCUCCGACUGUGAAAAACCAAGCCUCUUGCUGCCCCCUGGCACCCUAGGAAUCAAGGAGAUGCACAGACUGAAAAUCAGAGAGGAAAGGAACAAGAUCAAGGAUGAGGAUUAGCAUCUGCAAAUUGAACUCUAUCUAAUUUGCAUGUUUAUUUCUUAGAAUUGUAAUUAAAUUUGUGUAAUAAAUGUUUUCCAUUUCAUUUGUACACUUAAAAUUUGGGUGACUGACAUGCAGUUAAGUGAAUUUUUUUUUAAGCAAGUGUAGUUUAUUCAAUAAAGCAGCAAACAAAUAUGAAAC